GGACAAGGCAACGCUUCUAGAGUUAAUCAUACCCAAUUUAUGCUUCCAAAAGUGUCAACAUGUGAUAUAUAGAGUGCAUUUUCUUGACUAGCUUGUCCUCUGGAACACAAUGGCUUAUUUUUAUUGUUUUUAUUGCAGUGUGAAUAUUGCCUCAUGACUGGAAUGAAUAACAACUUCCCUAUUUAAUUAAGCCAUAUGAGAUUUGCAUUUGUGCUCACUGAAGCCAUCUCCCUUCCUGUGUUAUCGUGGCUGCACCUCAGCUCAGAGGAAAAGGAACAGCUACGCUCUGUGCAGGAAGACAAGACACUCAAUUGCUUGUAUAUUGCCACCCCCAUCCAGGGAAAGGCUGUGAAAUCUCCAUCCUCGGAAAUAUCCAAAAACCAAAUCAAUACAGGCUUGGCCAAUCUACUCUGACUGGAUGUGCCUGAAUAAGAGGGGUAGGACUGGAUGAUUUCCAGAGUUCCCACUAAGUCUCAACUACUCUGUGAGAAAACGAACAGGUCUUGACCUCCUCUAAGAUCACUCACUUGCCUAAAAUGCCUGGGUUGGUGGGCCAGCUCUUCCACGUGGGCAGUCAGCCCAAGAAAAUCCAGCUCUUCCUGAAACCAAAGCAACUGCUCUUGUCCUCUGCUGUACUUCGUCAGUUUCAUGCAGCUUUUUCUCAAGUGUUGCACUAGGAAAAAAUAGAAGCAAAAGUGGUACUUUGGGAAAUGUCAGUGAAUAUGCCUGGCUAAGUGCAUAUAAGGUAAGGAAAAGGCAAAUAAGGAAGAAUUGCAGCCCCAGGGGUAUUGCGACUAACGAUGUUGGCUUGCUUCCUCCUUUCCGUUUAUUGUUGCAACACUGAUGUAAUUGCUAUCAGUCUAGGACACUAAGCCUCAAAUAUACAUUAAUCAUGCCAGAUUGAUGUACUGCUUUAAGGAAAUGCUACUUUUUUUGGUGGUAGUGCAGUUGUUAUGGUGACUCCUCUUCUUUCCUCUUUUAAUACAGGAAGCAAAGAACUAAAUAAAAUAUCAUUUCUUUUAUGAAAUUUAUAAGAAACCUGCUCUGAAGCUGUAACUUGCAGUGAGAUGUUUCAGAAUACUUAACAAUGUUUUUAUUUUACAUUAUUUGACUUUUCACUCUGAAACUCAGAAUUCUGUGGAGUUAUGUGGUAAUAAGAAAUAUAUGGAAGGAAAUGUACGAGUGCUAAACAUGGCUAUAGAGUUAGCAUAUUAAACAGCAGUUCCAGAAGUUCUCAGUGGUAUCCAUUCACAUAUUUUUCAGGCUUGAAGCAUCAGAAAUUCCCAACACGCUUCCUUCAUUACAGUUUUUCUCAUUUCGGUAUGAGUUGUUUCUUAAAGCUAAGAUGAAAGUGCCUAUAACUGUACAAAUUACUUAGUGUUUUACGUCAGCUCACAAUUUUAAACAAAUUUAUCCCAUCAUAACUGGUAAGUGUUGGAUUUCUGCUUUAUAACUAAGAAAUUGAGGCAAUCAGAUGUGCAAGCUUAACCAGCUCUAGCUCUACAGCCAGCACUGACUUGAUUGAAAUUGCUGAAGUUCACUUUGUCUGCAAGCAUGUCCUUCACUCGCUAAAGCUUCUAAGUGAAAAUCAAGGAUGGGCAGACCUGCAGAGUUCUUGAUGCCACUUUGAAUGUAGCUUCACUGAUGCUGAAGAAAGAUUUGCACUCCCAUGAAGCAGAUGUGAAGGAGGAAGAAUGCGGUCUCCUGGAAGGAAGAGAGAGAGAUAAUGGGGAUAAGGGCUCAGGCACAAAGAGGGAGGGAGCUUGGGAAAUUAAGGGAGGGGGCUUGGGAAAUUAAGAACUAUAACUCUUCGGGAAGAAAAGGUUAAAAAAAAAAAAAAAAAAAGCCAAACAAACAAAGAAACAAACAAAAACCAAAGGGAAAAUACUUGAAAUAGCAUAUAAGUCGGGGUGCAGCUGGAAAUGUGCUCAGAGAAGAACGAGGGUCUGAAAAUUGGCAAAAGUAAAUCAGUCCUGGGAAAUACGCAGCCUAAUAACAUUUCUCAUACAAAAACACUAGAAGGUAUCUGUGGUGAAAUGUUGCAUUUGAAUUACUGUGAGAGGAUAAUUUUCCCAGAAGCAGUGUUAUCGUUUUAUCUGCCUCCUAUAUGAAAGCAUCACAGUGGAAGAGAAAUGCUGAAGUUUUAUUAGGAGCAGACUAUCAGUGCAACUUUUUAAUGAGCAAUUUAUCACCCUUACAAGCCCUGAUUUUUAUUAACCUCAUCUGUGGCUGAAGAAUUACUUUCCCAAUCUGAGGCUGGCAGUCAUGAAGCAUCCCCUUAUCAGCAGCAGGCCAUUUGCUUAAAAAGCAGCUCUCAUGGCAAGAGGUAUCUGUUCUUCCUGGUAGUACUACAGCAUGGGACAGAUGCAGUGCCAGUGCCACCUGCUGAAAUGCUCUCUCAGGAGGUGUUCAGAUAUUCAAAAUGGGAUUUCCAGGC